AGUUUAUUUUUUGCAGUUCAGCUUUUAAUUGUUUAGUGAAUAAACAUAGGCAUUUGUAUUACAAAGUUAAGUCACUGAAUUUUCUGAAAAUGUGAUUUUGCAUUCAAAUUUUCUGAAUUAUACACCAAAAUGUAACAUUUACCAUAGAAUAACAAAGCAAGGAACAUACUGGACUUAAAUUGACAGUUAAUCUACUUUGAUAAUGUAUUAUACAGGCAACAUCAUGCACUCAAGGUGCUGUAGUGGGCAUUAUGUCAGAAGUUACCUAACAUUAUCCCAC